CAUAGGGGUGCCUUAAAUAACACGGGCUGAGAUUAUACCCAUUGAACCUGAUUCGGGUAAUGCCGGCGAAGGGAAAGGUAA
rnacentral:ncRNA from 1 species